GAUGAACGCUGGCGGCGUGCCUAAUACAUGCAAGUCGAACGCAUAGCGAAAGGUGCUUGCACCUUUCAAGUGAGUGGCGAACGGGUGAGUAACACGUGGACAACCUGCCUCAAGGCUGGGGAUAACAUUUGGAAACAGAUGCUAAUACCGAAUAAAACUUAGUGUCGCAUGACACAAAGUUAAAAGGCGCUUCGGCGUCACCUAGAGAUGGAUCCGCGGUGCAUUAGUUAGUUGGUGGGGUAAAGGCCUACCAAGACAAUGAUGCAUAGCCGAGUUGAGAGACUGAUCGGCCACAUUGGGACUGAGACACGGCCCAAACUCCUACGGGAGGCUGCAGUAGGGAAUCUUCCACAAUGGGCGAAAGCCUGAUGGAGCGACGCCGCGUGUGUGAUGAAGGCUUUCGGGUCGUAAAGCACUGUUGUAUGGGAAGAACAGCUAGAAUAGGAAAUGAUUUUAGUUUGACGGUACCAUACCAGAAAGGGACGGCUAAAUACGUG
rnacentral:rRNA from 1 species